rnacentral:rRNA from 1 species
CCGCUACAAGAAACUUAAAGGAAAUUGACGGGGGCCCGCACAAGCGGUGGAGCAUGUGGUUUAAUUCGAUGAUACGCGAGGAACCUUACCUGGGCUCAAAUGUAUGUUGACGUAUUCUGAAAGGGAUACUUCUUCGGACAAUAUACAAGGUGCUGCAUGGUUGUCGUCAGCUCGUGCCGUGAGGUGUCGGGUUAAGUCCCAUAACGAGCGCAACCCCUAUCAUUAGUUGCCAUCGGGUAAUGCCGGGCACUCUGGAAGGACUGCCAUCGACAAGAUGGAGGAAGGUGGGGAUGACGUCAAGUCAUCAUGGCCCUUAUGUCCAGGGCGACACACGUGCUACAAUGGCCGGCACAACGGGAAGCGAGUUCGCGAGGACGAGCGGAUCCCUCAAAGCCGGUCGCAGUUCGGAUUGAAGUCUGCAACUCGACUUCAUGAAGCUGGAAUCGCUAGUAAUCGUGGAUCAGCCAAGCCGCGGUGAAUACGUUCCCGGGCCUU